rnacentral:rRNA from 1 species
UACGAAGGGUGCAACGUUGCUCGGAAUUAUUGGGCGUAAAGAGCUCGUAGGCGGUCUGUUGCGUCCGCUGUGAAAACUCGGGGCUUAACCCCUGGCUUGCAGUGGAUACGGACAGACUAGAGGUAGGUAGGGGAGAAUGGAAUUCCCGGUGUAGCGGUGAAAAUGCGCAGAUGUCGGGAGGAACACCAGAGGCGAAGGCGGCCGGCUGGACCUGACCUGACCGCUGA